rnacentral:rRNA from 1 species
UACGUAGGGUGCAGGCGUUAAUCGGAAUUACUGGGCGUAAAGCGUGCGCAGGCGGCUUCCUAAGUCAGAUGUGAAAUCCCCGGGCUUAACCUGGGAACUGCGUUUGAAACUGGGGGGCUAGAGUGCGGCAGAGGGGGGUGGAAUUCCACGUGUAGCAGUGAAAUGCGUAGAUAUGUGGAGGAACACCGAUGGCGAAGGCAGCCCCCUGGGCCUGCACUGACGCUCAUGCACGAAAGCGUGGGGAGCAAACAGG